rnacentral:sRNA from 1 species
GGUAGCUGGGCUAAGAAAUAGGAGCCCAGGUACAGGAUUUGCAUUAAAAAUGAGUCCCAUUGACCUUCUGUGGGGCUGACAGGCUGGGCUUGGAGCCUGGCUGUUUUCUGGGUUCUCAGCAAGUGACCAUCUGCAUAGCUGGAGAGCCUUGGGCUGAGCUCCCGCUCCUGUGAACUCUAAAACAAUGUCUGCCAAGUAGGCUCUCUUGAGUAAAUACUUCCUUUUUUUUCCUCAGGCUGACCCAAAACGAACUCAACGAUGAAGUGGCAGAGAGUUUGGCAGAAAUGUUGAAAGUCAACCAGACGUUAAAGCAUUUAUGGCUUAUCCAGAAUCAGAUCACAGCUAAGGGGACUGCCCAGCUGGCAGAUGCGUUACAGAGCAACACUGGCAUAACAGAGAUUUGCCUAAAUGGAAACCUGAUAAAACCAGAGGAGGCCAAAGUCUAUGAAGAUGAGAAGCGGAUUAUCUGUUUCUGAGAGGAUGCUUUCCUGUGCAUGGGGUUUUUGCCCUGGAGCCUCAGCAGCAAAUGCCACUCUGGGCAGUCUUUUGUGUCAGUGUCUUAAAGGGGCCUGCGCAGGCGGGACUAUCAGGAGUCCACUGCCUCCAUGAUGCAAGCCAGCUUCCUGUGCAGAAGGUCUGGUCGGCAAACUCCCUAAGUACCCGCUACAAUUCUGCAGAAAAAGAAUGUGUCUUGUGAGCUGUUGUAGUUACAGUAAAUACACUGUGAAGAGACUUUAUUGCCUAUUAUAAUUAUUUUUAUCUGAAGCUAAAGGAAUAAAGCUGUGAGCAAACAGAGGAGGCCAGCCUCAGCUCAUUCCAACACCUGCCAUAGGGACCAACGGGAGCGAGUUGGUCACCGCUGUUUUCAUUGAAGAGUUGAGGAUGUGGCACAAAGUUGGUGCCAA